rnacentral:lncRNA from 1 species
CCUUCCUAUAAUUUCGAUUGAUAAAUUUUGUAAAUUCUGCAUUUGCUGUUUUACAUUUUAUUAAAUACUAAUAUUGUUAAAAAUUAAGUUAAAUUUUUACAAGAUUAAAAUAGUUAACAUUUAGAAAUUGCUAUAAAAUUACAUUUAUGAAUAAAUAUAUAGGGCAAAGCAUUUCUAUAAUAUUCAGCUGGGUCAGCCAGUUGGCCACAUAGAAUCGUUUCGACUUUAUACCUAGAAUGCUGGGUUCGAAUCCUGGACUAUCCAUUGGAAAAUUUAUAUGGGGAUCCGGCCUGGGUCUACCAGAUAACCAUGUGAUAAAGCAGUGGCUUAUCAUCUUGGAGGAUCCGAGUUCAAUUUCGGGUUUCAUAUUUACAGUUUUUCAAAAACAGUCCGGGCCCAGCCCAUUGAAUCCCAUGAUGGAUGUUGGCCAGAUUUUCGUGAGUUCUAAAAGCCACAUAAUAACCGCCACUAGAUAAAGUAUAUAUAUUCCAUGUGCGAUAUGGCAGCUUAAAUUAACUAAACCUAAUGUAACCAGAUAUAACUAUCUCCGUUCUCAACAAUCUGGCCGAAUCAAUCACGGAUGUGGGUGGCCUGUGGCAGGAUUAAAUUUUCUCAGUCUCCUUAGAAACUGCUGUCAUCUAUUGACAAAAUAAUAAUAAUCCGGCCGAUUCCAUUCUAAAUAUAUUCAACUCCUCGUGGUGGGUUCUGGAAUGUCUCAAAGUUUAAUAAUUCUAAAUAAAAUAAUUUAUUUCAUAAAAUAACUGAAAAAUUAGAUAGAGUUCUAUAAUAAGUCCUUUAUUAAGAGAAUAAACAUUACAAUAUAAAAAAAGUAUUUUCAAAAUACACAGACUAAUACUUUUAUUAUGUCGGCCGGAUUGGCCGCGUGGAAACGCUUCGGCUUUCCACUCUGGAGAAUCCAGGUUCGAG